rnacentral:rRNA from 1 species
CGACCGGCGCACGGGUGAGUAACGCGUAUGUAAUCUGCCUUGUACAGAGGGAUAGCCCAGAGAAAUUUGGAUUAAUACCUCAUAGUAUUACUGAAUCGCAUGAUUCGGUAAUUAAAGCUCCGGCGGCACAAGAUGAACAUGCGUGACAUUAGCUAGUUGGUAAGGUAACGGCUUACCAAGGCAACGAUGUCUAGGGGUUCUGAGAGGAUGAUCCCCCACACUGGUACUGAGACACGGACCAGACUCCUACGGGAGGCAGCAGUGAGGAAUAUUGGUCAAUGGACGCAAGUCUGAACCAGCCAUCCCGCGUGAAGGAUGACUGGCCUAUGGGUUGUAGACUUCUUUUAUAUGCAAAUAAACCUACUUUCGUGAAAGUAGCUGAAGGUAGCAUAUGAAUAAA